rnacentral:tRNA from 1 species
GCCUGAGUGGCUCAGUCGGUUGGGCGUCUGACUUCAGCUCAGGUCAUGAUCUCGUGGUUUAUGGGUUCGAGCCCCAUGUCGGUCU